AGUGAACGCUGGCGGUAGGCCUAACACAUGCAAGUCGAACGGCAGCACAGUAAGAGCUUGCUCUUACGGGUGGCGAGUGGCGGACGGGUGAGGAAUACAUCGGAAUCUACUUUUUCGUGGGGGAUAACGUAGGGAAACUUACGCUAAUACCGCAUACGACCUUCGGUUGAAAGCAGGGGAUCUUCGGACCUUGCGCGAUUGAAUGAGCCGAUGUCGGAUUAGCUAGUUGGCGGGGUAAAGGCCCACCAAGGCGACGAUUCGUAGCUGGUCUGAGAGGAUGAUCAGCCACACUGGAACUGAGACACGGUCCAGACUCCUACGGGAGGCAGCAGUGGGGAAUAUUGGACAAUGGGCGCAAGCCUGAUCAAGCCAGACCGCGUGGGUGAAGAAGGCCUUCGGGUUGUAAAGCCCUUUUGUUGGGAAAGAAAAGCAGCAGGUUAAUACCCCGCUGUUCUGACGGUACCCAAAGAAUAAGCACCGGCUAACUUCGUG
rnacentral:rRNA from 1 species